rnacentral:rRNA from 1 species
ACGAACGCUGGCGGCGUGCUUCACACCUGCAAGUCGCACGCUGAACCCGCUUCGGUGGGGAUGAGUGGCGAACGGGUGAGUAACACGUGGGCAACCUGCCCCCGGCUCUGGGAUAACUCCAAGAAAUUGGGGCUAAUACCGGAUGUGACCGCUGGCCGCAUGGUCUGGUGGUGGAAAGGGUUUCCGGCUGGGGAUGGGCCCGCGGCCUAUCAGCUUGUUGGUGGGGUAGUGGCCUACCAAGGCGACGACGGGUAGCCGGCCUGAGAGGGUGACCGGCCACACUGGGACUGAGACACGGCCCAGACUCCUACGGGAGGCAGCAGUGGGGAAUAUUGCGCAAUGGGCGGAAGCCUGACGCAGCGACGCCGCGUGGGGGAUGACGGCCUUCGGGUUGUAAACCUCUUUCAGCAGGGACGAAGCGCAAGUGACGGUACCUGCAGAAGAAGCACCGGCCAACUACGUG